rnacentral:rRNA from 1 species
AGAACGAACGCUGGCGGCAGGCUUAACACAUGCAAGUCGAACGCCCCGCAAGGGGGAGUGGCAGACGGGUGAGUAACGCGUGGGAAUCUACCUGGUUCUACGGAAUAACUGAGGGAAACUUCAGCUAAUACCGUAUACGCCCUAAGGGGGAAAGAUUUAUCGGUGCCAGAUGAGCCCGCGUUGGAUUAGCUAGUUGGUGGGGUAAUGGCCUACCAAGGCGACGAUCCAUAGCUGGUCUGAGAGGAUGAUCAGCCACACUGGGACUGAGACACGGCCCAGACUCCUACGGGAGGCAGCAGUGGGGAAUAUUGGACAAUGGGCGAAAGCCUGAUCCAGCCAUGCCGCGUGAGUGAUGAAGGCCUUAGGGUUGUAAAGCUCUUUCAGUGGGGAAGAUAAUGACGGUACCCACAGAAGAAGCCCCGGCUAACUUCGUGCCAGCAGCCGC